GGUGGGCUCUCGCGUAAUUUAUUUGAGUUUACGUUGGUUUUGCUUUUAUCAUCAGGAAUUAAGAUAUCCCUAAUUUAGAUAUUCGUCAGUAGUCGGAUCUUAUCUAGGAAGUUCUGUUGUACUCUGUUGCGAUCCUCCUGUAUGUAAUCUCCUGGAAUAUCUCUGUUCCGGCUUGUAACCCUGCCUCCUAGUCUAUAUAAGGCAAGGCAAGGACUCCUCCAAAACAACUCAAUACUCCCCAGGGCAGGGCAAUCUACAAACACAUAGGACAUAGGGUGUUACGCUCAUUGUGGCCCGAACCUAUGUAAACAGUUGUCUCUGCAUUUACCUUUGAUCUACUGUUCUUACCGAGCCUCUACGAUAUAAAUCAACUACUCGGGGUACCCCCUGAGUUGGGUGACGACUAUAAUUUGUUGACAGGUCCCGACCCUGAACCCGUCGACUGCUGCUUGAGCUGCUCAUGCGGCGAGAGCAGGUCGUCGCGUGCCAGUCGAAGGACAGAUCGGGAAUGGCUCUCUCGGGGGCCUUCCCCAGGCAUCGAACAACCACCAUAGAACUAGUAUGGAUAAGGGGAAUCUAACUAUUUAAUUAAAACAAAGCAUUGCGAUGGUCCCUGCUAAUGCUGACGCAAUGUGAUUUCUACCCAGUGCUCUAAAUGUCAAAGUGAAGAAAUUCAAACAAGCAUGGGUGUUAGUGUUGAAAUCGUAACGCCAACUACCGGCCUGGGAGAUGCAGUUCUCCUGAGAAGCAGGUCCGAAAUAAUAUAUAAUGGAUACAUGGGCGUGCCACCU
rnacentral:ncRNA from 1 species